ensembl:lncRNA
GUUCGAUGUUUCGAUGAUCUUUUGCACGGCGUCUCCAUGGUGAGCUUGGUGUUGAAGCGGUUGCUCUGUGCUCGAUUGGCCCGCCCUGUUGUCAAGUAGACAUAUGACGCAGUUGCUAUGGUUUCGUUGGGAACGCGCACGCGCCGCUAGUCGCUAAUGGCGCCGAGGGCUGCAGGCUAACAGUAAACACGGAGCUGACGGGAGGAGUAAAGAGGAGAAACGGAGGCUUAUAAUGCAGUCAGAGAAGAAGAUAACGAAAGAAGACACCUGGAGGUCCAGUGAGUUAAGGAAGCACAUACAGGGGCAGGAUGAAGAGCACAGGAGGAGAGAACGAUCGAAGAGGGAAGAAACUCCCAGAAAACAGAGGAGCGGAGAGUCCACAGACCGCCGGCACAGAGACGGAGAGAGAGACGAGAGGAGAGAGAGAGAGAAGCAGAGAGAGAGAGACGGCGCGAGAGAGAGAGCGAAGCACAGAGAGCCAGAGCGGGACAGAGAAGAGGAGCGAAGGAGGGACGAGCGAGAGAGGAGGAAAGAGAGAGAUGGAGAGAGAAGGGGCUCAGAGAGGAGGGCUGAUCGGGAUGAGAAGGAGAACAGAGACCGAGAGAAGGAGAGGCAGAGAGAGAGAUACAAAGACAGGGAUAGAGAGGGACAGGGAGACUUGGGCAGACAUGGAGAGAAAGAGAGAGAGAGACUUAGAGAUAGAGAUAGGGAAGAGAGGGAUAGACUGAAAAACAGGGAAAGAGAGAGGGAGAAAGAGAGGUUCAGGGAGAAAGAGGGAGAGCAGGAGAAACAUAAAGAGAAAGAGAAAGAAAGGGAUAAAGACAGAGAGAGGGAGAGAAGGAGGGCAGAGAGGGAGAGGGAAAGAAGAAAAGAGAAGGAGGGGAGUAGAGAUGGGGAGGAAAAGCACAGGGAGAAGGAUAAAGAGCGAGAGAGGGAGAGGAGAGAGAGGCACAGAGAGAGGGAGGAACGCCACAGAGACGAAGAACAAGAACGGAGAGAACGUGAAAGGCGAGAGAAACACGGCCACAGAGAGAACUCCGGACACGCGGACAGAGAGGAAAGAAGGGAGCGGAGACGAAGAGAGAAAGAACGCCAUGAAGCUGGUGAGAGGGACUUCAGUGACGCCCGAGACACAGAGCGGCGGCAGCGACGCCAAGAGGGUGAAAGAACGAGGGAUAGAGAGGAGAGAGAUAAACGUAGAGAAAAGCGGCACGAGGAGUCGAAGAAGAGCAGCACUGAUCAAAGACAUGGAAAAUCGGAGAGCAAGAACAGGAGCGCUGAGCACGAGGUGGAGAACGAAGGCACUGAGGACGAUAAUGAGGCAGCUGAGGAAUAUGGGAAUGAUGAGUACGAGGAGGAUUUUGAGGUAGGAACACCGUUUCGGCUCUGAUGAGUCAUGAUUCAUAAUACCGGGGUGUUCAGGCAUGCGGGUUACAUGAUCACAAUGUUGUUGCUUUGUUUUUGAUUUUUAAUGCAUGCCUUCGAAUGAAUUGUCUUCUACAAGAGAAUGGUGAGUGUUGUGAAGAAGAGAUAGACGUGUAGAGAGACGUUUCCCCCGAAUG